AGUUACCCUGGACUAGCCUGUUAUCUCUGUUAGCCCUGUUAGCUCUGUUAGCCCUGUUAGCCCUGUUAGCCUUGUUAGCCCUGUUAGCCUUGUUAGCUCUGUUACCCUGUGAGCUUUGUUAGCCCUGUUAGCCCUGUUAUCUCUGUUAGCCCUGUUAGCUUGGUUAGCUCUGUUAGCUCUGUUAGCCCUGUUAGCCUUGUUUGCUCUGUUACCCUGUUAGCUUUGUUAGCUUUGUUAGCUCUGUUAGCUCUGUUAGCCCUGUUAGCUCUGUUAACAUCUUUUCUAUGUUACCCAACUAUUCGGAUUCAUCCCCAACACCUGUUAGCCCUGUUAGCUGUCCCCAGAGCAGGUUUGUUCUGAAUGAUUCGUUGCCAUUACCUGGCUAAAUGGUGAACCACUUUUGUGGUACCAGUUAUCCUGAAUUUAACUCAAGUGUUGACCAAAGUUACCUUGGUAGUUUAUAGGACUCAGGUAACCAUGCAACAAUUACCUUGGUAGUUAUAGAGCUCAGGUAACCAUGCAACAAUUACCUUGGUAGUUAUAGAGCUCAGGUAACCAUGCAACAAUUACCUUGGUAGUUAUAGAGCUCAGGUAACCAUGCAACAAUUACCUUGGUAGUUAUAGAGCUCAGGUAACCAUGCAACAAUUACCUUGGUAGUUAUAGAGCUCAGGUAACCAUGCAACAAUUACCUUGGUAGUUAUAGAGCUCAGGUAACCAUGCAACAAUUACCUUGGUAGUUAUAGAGCUCAGGUAACCAUGCAACAAUUACCUUGGUAGUUAUAGAGCUCAGGUAACCAUGCAACAAUUACCUUGGUAGUUAUAGAGCUCAGGUAACCAUGCAACAAUUACCUUGGUAGUUAUAGAGCUCAGGUAACCAUGCAACAAUUACCUUGGUAGUUAUAGAGCUCAGGUAACCAUGCAACAAUUACCUUGGUAGUUAUAGAGCUCAGGUAACCAUGCAACAAUUACCUUGGUAGUUAUAGAGCUCAG